CAGUAGCCGCGGGAAAACGGAGGGGGCUAGCGUUGUUCGGAAUUACUGGGCGUAAAGCGCACGUAGGCGGCUUUGUAAGUUAGAGGUGAAAGCCUGGAGCUCAACUCCAGAAUUGCCUUUAAGACUGCAUCGCUUGAAUCCGGGAGAGGUGAGUGGAAUUCCGAGUGUAGAGGUGAAAUUCGUAGAUAUUCGGAAGAACACCAGUGGCGAAGGCGGCUCACUGGACCGGCAUUGACGCUGAGGUGCGAAAGCGUGGGGAGCAAACAGGAUUAGAUACCCCUGUAGUCCCUGUCUCUUAUAC
rnacentral:rRNA from 1 species